ensembl:lncRNA
GGACAGCUCUUGCCUUCAUGAAUGGGGGGAGGGUUGACCCUAGGUCUGGUCUGUUGUGUAAGCAGAAAUUGCCACACUUUGACAAAGCACUGCUUAAAUAUUUUGGUGGGGCGGCCUCCACUUUAAAGUUUUUGAGGAGGGUUGGGGGGGGAUUAGUCAACCAGCUGCUAAAGCUCAGUUACUCAGCUUGUUAAGAGUUAACUUCACAUCUGGAUCUAGUCAGUGUGAGGCUGAGUGCAAAAGCCAACAGAGAACCAAGGAAUACCAUAGCAAGGGAGGCAGACAUGACCAGCGCCUGCCUUUUGUCAUAAAUACAACUGUCACCUCAAGCUCAGCAGGUUGCUCAGUGGUAAAGAAUCUGUCCGCCAAUGCAGGAGACCCAAGAAAAGCAGGUCCCACCUCCAAAUAUCACCACUCCAUCACAUUGGGCUCCAACUAACGAAUUUGGGGUAUUGGACGGGAAGGACACAUUCAGUUCAUGCCCACAUUUUUAAGCAGGAGACUAGAGUCUAGCCCCUGGGUUGGGAAGAUCCCCUGGAGGAAGAAAUGGCAGCACACUCCAGUAUUCUUGCCCAGAAAAUUCCAGGGACAGAGGAUCCUGGUAGGCUAUAGUUCAUUCGGUGGCAAAAAGAGUUGCGUGUGACUGAGCACACACAAAC